GUUGUACUCCCUCCGUCCAGUAAAGGAUGUCUCAAAUUUGACCAAAUUUGAAUGCAUUUAUACACUAAGUCAUGCUAGAUACAUCCAAAUUUUGACAAACUUGAGACAUCUUUUGUUGGACGGAGGAAGUAUAAA
rfam:Brachypodium distachyon strain Bd21 chromosome 3, whole genome shotgun sequence.